rnacentral:sRNA from 1 species
AAUUAUCAUAUUAGAAAACCCCUUUAAAAACGAUUGUAAAAAAUGCAAACCCUUUUUAAAAUACCUUGUAAAUCAUUCUACGCCACAUACUUAUGCUUUUUAACGAUUGUAAAUCAAGUUAAACACUUUUAAAAGCUUUUAAAAUCCCUUGUAAAUCAUUCUAUGCCACUAAGUUCUGCUUCUAAAACGAUUGUUAAUCAAUUAAACCCUUUUUAAUAGCUUUUAAAAUCCCUUGUAAAUCAUUCUAAUCCGUUAAAAACGAUUGCAAGUCAUGUAAAUCCUUUUUAAAAUACCUUGUAAAUCAUUCUUUACCACUUUCUAAUCUUUUAAAAUUGUUUAUAAACCAUGUAACCCUUUUUAAAAUCCCUUUCGUAAAUAACUUAAUGAUGCUUUAAAAACUAUAUGUAAUUCAUGGGUUACCAAUUUUACAAGGAUUUUUGGACAUACCGUUGUUGUUAUUGCUUUCCCUGGCGUCUCUAGGGUUGUAAACCACUUUGUAUCUACAAUAUUUCCCGCGAUUGAUAGUGGCCUACAACAACAAAACAGUCAACAAUGAUGCUUCUUCCAUUAUUAAAAAAAACUCACUAUCUUACUAACAAAACUCACUUGUUUUUCCUUGACUUCUUCUAUUCAGCCAAUUUCUCAAGUCUUGUGGCAUCAACUUUCGCAAAUGGAUGCAAAAUUGGAUGCUUCUUCUUCUCAGCUGUGAAAGGUGCUUGGGUAUGAAUGGAAGGAACCGUACCCCGCUUACUCUUUCUUUGCGGAGCGGGCUGAAAAUCAUCAUUGUCGCCAUCAUUAUCAGCGUUAUCACCAUCAUUGCCAAUAAUUUUCCUUUUCUUACUCUGUGCCUAUCAAAAAGAAUAAAAAAAACAGAUGUUUAAAAUACCUUGUAAACAAAAUUUUCAAAAUCAUAAUAAAUUAGAUACUAACCUCUUUCCUUGUUGGAACAUCAACAUCAGCACUAUCAACUUGUUUCUGCCUCUUUCUCGGCACCUAGAAUAGUAAAAAACACCAAUUAAAAGUACUUUUAAAAUCCCUUGUAAAUAUCAUAACAAGACAAUUGACAAAUUUUAAAAACAGUACUGUUGCAAAUACUAACCUGUUUUCUUGUUUUAAGAUUAUCCUCAGCAUGAACACUUGGUUUAACUCUCUUGUUCUGAAGUUGCAUGAAAGAUAAACUUUUAAAGAUUUGAAAAAAAUAUUAUAAACACUUGGUUAGAUAAUACAGUUUUUUUUUAAAUGCUAACCUCAUUUCUUCCUUUGCUAACUCUCUUCUUAUCCUUUUGAACAUCCAGACUUUCUUCAGACAAAAUAUUGAAAUUUGGUGUAGAGGAUCGUGGAGUAGGAGACUUAUCCUUGAAAAGAUAACAGAAUGUAAAAUUAUAAAAAGGAUACUAAUCAUUUUUGUAAGACUUUUAGAGAUAUAAAUUACUGUACUUUUGAUGAUUCUUCAGCUACUUCAUCACCAACAUCACGUUGGGUGUUUUCAUCAUCACCCGGAUAGCUCCCAUACUGUGUGUUUGGCUCUCGGAUUGAAUCUUCAAAUGAUUCAUUGUCAUUCUGCAACAAAAUAAAACCAAUAAGUCAAUCAUUAAUAUAAUUAGUAGACCUUUAAAAUAGCUUGUAAAGAUUUUCAAUUACCUCUGCUUUUCUUUCUAGUCCUCCUUCUUCUUCAGCCUGCGAAAAAAAAGAGUACAUUGUAAAGGUUUACUACGUAUUUUUAACCUUUAAAAUACAUUGUAAAACCUUUCCUUUCAAAUAGCUUUUAAAGAAACAUUUACAAUUACCUCUGGUUGUCUUUAUACUCCUUCAUCUUCUUGUUUUCUUUCUUCAUCUUCCUCAGAUCUCUGAUUAUUCUUUUCCUCCAUUCUAAUGUCCAAAAUCCUCUCAAUCAGCUCGACUCUCUUGUGAAGAUCUUCAAGGAUUGUCAAAAUCCUGUCAAGCUUCUCGCUAUCAGAUAUUUUGUUAUUGAUUUUGUUUUGACCUACUUCUUCAAGGGCAGCACAAACAUCAACGCAUCUUGUAUUCCAUUCAGUUUUCUUCAAUCUGUACCCCAUAUUAACAAGUCCCAAAAUAUGUUGGAAUUCUGUGUCGUCUGUGUGGAAAUCAGGAACUAAAGACUUGAAUUCUUCUGGGUUUCCAAUAAUUGUAUUCACCUCCAUCUGCGAAGAUACAAUAACAUUACAAAUCUUGAGAAAGCAGAACUUCAAAUCUAAAAACCAUUUAAAGAAUUCUGUAAAUAGACAAAAGCUUACCUCUGAAACAUCAUUUACAAGGUUUACGAUCUUGAAAAACUCUGGAGUAGUAGUGCUUUUCCACUUCAAUAUCAAUGGAUAUUCAGAUUGGAAUUCCUUAUCUUUAACUCCAUAUGCUGCACCAAAUGCUGGAACUGCGCUCAACACCCAUAUUGUUAGCGCUAGUCCAAAUCCUCUCAAACCAUAUUGAAUUUGAUAGAACACUUAAUGCUUCUUUACCCCACGGUUGGGCUGUGUACAUCUCAAAAUCAGAAGCAUGCUGCAAUCUUGGCAAAGGUAUCUUCUCUUUUCCAUAUGGUGUCAAAAGAAUUCCUUCAGUCAACACUACUGCAGCAAGACACAACUUUUCUUCAUCUUCAACAGCAGGUUCACCUUCCUUAGGUUUUAAAAACAAUCGAUCUUCGAGAUCACCAAGAGUCUAGGAUCCUUUACUAGCCCAAAAGUAUGGUUCUUUUACAGGAUCUUUCCCCUUUCGUCGAAGUUCCCUAUGAACAGGUUCACAUUGAAUUCCUGUAUGAACAAAAGACAGUGUAGAGACUAUUAUUACAGGUUUUAUAGUAAAUACUUUAAAAACGAUUGUAAAUCAUGUUUAACACUUUUAAAAGCUUUUAAAAGCUUUUAAAAUCCCUUAUAAAUCAUUCAAUGCCACUUACUUAUGCUUUAAAAACGAUUGUAAACCAUGCAGACACUUUUAAAAUCCCUUGUAAAUCAUUAUAUGACACUUACUUAUGCUUUAAAAACGAUUGUAAAUCAUGUUUAACCCUUCUAAAAGCUUUUAAAAUCCCUUGUAAAUCAUUCUAUUCAACUUACUUAUGCUUAAAAAACGAUUGCUAAUCAUGUUUAACCCUUAGAAAAGGUUUUAAAAUCCCUUGUAAAUAUUCUAUGCCACUUACUUAUGUUUUAAAAUCGAUUGUAAACUAUGCAAACACUUCUAAAAUCCCUUGUAAAUCGUUUUAAGACACUUACUUAUGCUUUUAAAAUCCCUUGUAAACGUGUUUAACACUUCUUUAAGCUUUUAAAAUCCCUUGUAAAUUAUUCUAUGCUAGUUACUUAUGCCUAAAAACGGUUGUAAACCAUGCAUACCCUUUUUAAAAUCCCUUGUAAAUCAUUCUCUGCCACUAACUUAUGCUUCUUAAACGAUUGUUAAUGAAGUAAACCCCUUUUAAAAGCUUUUAAAAUCCCUUGUAAAUUAUCUAUGA